UUCCCUGUAGAGCAGUGGAUAUGCGCGUUGUACUUCUAAUCCAAAGGUCGUGGGUUCGAAUCCCACCAGGGAUG